rnacentral:rRNA from 1 species
GACGAACGCUGGCGGCGUGCCUAACACAUGCAAGUCGAGCGAGUUGAUUCUCUUCGGAGAUGAAGCUAGCGGCGGACGGGUGAGUAACACGUGGGCAACCUGCCUCAUAGAGGGGAAUAGCCUCCCGAAAGGGAGAUUAAUACCGCAUAAGAUUGUAGCUUCGCAUGAAGUAGCAAUUAAAGGAGCAAUCCGCUAUGAGAUGGGCCCGCGGCGCAUUAGCUAGUUGGUGAGGUAACGGCUCACCAAGGCGAGGAUGCGUAGCCGACCUGAGAGGGUGAUCGGCCACAUUGGGACUGAAACACGGCCCAGACUCCUACGAGAGGCAGCAGUGGGGAAUAUUGCACAAUGGGGGAAACCCUGAUGCAGCAACGCCGCGUGAGUGAUGACGGCCUUCGGGUUGUAAAGCUCUGUCUUCAGGGACGAUAAUGACGGUACCUGAGGAGGAAGCCACGGCUAACUACGUGCCAGCCGCCGCAGUAACAC